rnacentral:rRNA from 1 species
ACGAAGUCUUCGGACUGAGUGGCGGACGGGUGAGUAACGCGUGAGAAUCUGCCUAGAGGUCGGGGACAACCAUUGGAAACGAUGGCUAAUACCGGAUAUGCCUUACGGGGUGAAAGAUUAAUUGCCUUUAGAAGAGCUCGCGUCUGAUUAGCUAGUUGGUGAGGUAAGAGCUCACCAAGGCAGCGAUCAGUAGCUGGUCUGAGAGGAUGACCAGCCACACUGGGACUGAGACACGGCCCAGACUCCUACGGGAGGCAGCAGUGGGGAAUUUUCCGCAAUGGGCGAAAGCCUGACGGAGCAAGACCGCGUGAGGGAGGAAGGCUCUUGGGUUGUAAACCUCUUUUGUCAGGGAAGAACAAAAUGACGGUACCUGACGAAUCAGCAUCGGCUAACUCCGUGCCAGCAGCCGCGGUAAUACGGAGGAUGCAAGCGUUAUCCGGAAUUAUUGGGCGUAAAGCGUCCGCAGGUGGCUGAUCAAGUCUGCGGUCAAAGACCGGGGCUUAACCCUGGAAAGGCCGUGGAAACUGAUAGAGCUAGAGUACCGUAGGGGUAGAGGGAAUUCCCGGUGUAGCGGUGAAAUGCGUAGAGAUCGGGAAGAACAUCGGUGGCGAAAGCGCUCUACUGGACGGUGACUGACACUCAGGGACGAAAGCUAGGGGAGCGAAUGGGAUUAGAUACCCCAGUAGUCCUAGCCAUAAACGAUGGAUACUAG